rnacentral:rRNA from 1 species
GAUGAACGCUAGCGGCAGGCCUAAUACAUGCAAGUCGAACGGGAUCCAGAUCAAAGCUUGCUUUGGUUUGGUGAGAGUGGCGUACGGGUGCGUAACACGUGAGCAACCUACCCUUGUCAGGGGAAUAGCCAGGCGAACUUCCGAUUAAAACCGCAUGACCUCAUUGAGAGGCAUCUUUCGAUGAUCAAAGAUUUAUCGGACAAUGAUGGGCUCGCGUGACAUUAGCUAGUUGGUAAGGUAGCGGCUUACCAAGGCUACGAUGUCUAGGGGCUCUGAGAGGAGACUCCACUACACUGGUACCGCGACACGGACCCGACUCCUACGGGAGGCAGCAGUAUGGAAUAUUAGUCAAUGGACGGAAGUCUAAACCAGCCAUGCCGCGUGCAGGAAGACGGCCCUAUGGGUUGUAAACUGCUUUUAUACGGGAACAACCGUCGGUACGUGUACCGGUCUGAGUGUACCGUAAGAAUAAGGAUCGGCUAACUCCGUG